UAACGCGUAUGCAACCUACCUCUUACUGGGGAAUAGCCCGAAGAAAUUCGGAUUAAUGCCCCAUAUGCUCGUACGGCCUCAUGGUCGAGCGAGGAAAGCUCCGGCGGUUAAAGAUGGGCAUGCGUGACAUUAGUUAGUUGGUGAGGUAACGGCUCACCAAGACUUCGAUGUCUAGGGGUUCUGAGAGGAUUAUCCCCCACACUGGUACUGAGACACGGACCAGACUCC
rnacentral:rRNA from 1 species